GCUUAACACAUGCAAGUCGAGGGGCAGCAUGGUCUUAGCUUGCUAAGGCCGAUGGCGACCGGCGCACGGGUGAGUAACACGUAUCCAACCUGCCGUCUACUCUUGGACAGCCUUCUGAAAGGAAGAUUAAUACAAGAUGGCAUCAUGAGUCCGCAUGUUCACAUGAUUAAAGGUAUUCCGGUAGACGAUGGGGAUGCGUUCCAUUAGAUAGUAGGCGGGGUAACGGCCCACCUAGUCUUCGAUGGAUAGGGGUUCUGAGAGGAAGGUCCCCCACAUUGGAACUGAGACACGGUCCAAACUCCUACGGGAGGCAGCAGUGAGGAAUAUUGGUCAAUGGGCGAGAGCCUGAACCAGCCAAGUAGCGUGAAGGAUGACUGCCCUAUGGGUUGUAAACUUCUUUUAUAAAGGAAUAAAGUCGGGUAUGCAUACCCGUUUGCAUGUACUUUAUGAAUAAGGAUCGGCUAACUCCGUGCCAGCAGCCGCGGUAAUACGGAGGAUCCGAGCGUUAUCCGGAUUUAUUGGGUUUAAAGGGAGCGUAGAUGGAUGUUUAAGUCAGUUGUGAAAGUUUGCGGCUCAACCGUAAAAUUGCAGUUGAUACUGGAUAUCUUGAGUGCAGUUGAGGCAGGCGGAAUUCGUGGUGUAGCGGUGAAAUGCUUAGAUAUCACGAAGAACUCCGAUUGCGAAGGCAGCCUGCUAAGCUGCAACUGACAUUGAGGCUCGAAAGUGUGGGUAUCAAACAGGAUUAGAUACCCUGGUAGUCCACACGGUAAACGAUGAAUACUCGCUGUUUGCGAUAUACAGCAAGCGGCCAAGCGAAAGCGUUAAGUAUUCCACCUGGGGAGUACGCCGGCAACGGUGAAACUCAAAGGAAUUGACGGGGGCCCGCACAAGCGGAGGAACAUGUGGUUUAAUUCGAUGAUACGCGAGGAACCUUACCCGGGCUUAAAUUGCAGAUGAAUUACGGUGAAAGCCGUAAGCCGCAAGGCAUCUGUGAAGGUGCUGCAUGGUUGUCGUCAGCUCGUGCCGUGAGGUGUCGGCUUAAGUGCCAUAACGAGCGCAACCCUUGUUGUCAGUUACUAACAGGUUCCGCUGAGGACUCUGACAAGACUGCCAUCGUAAGAUGUGAGGAAGGUGGGGAUGACGUCAAAUCAGCACGGCCCUUACGUCCGGGGCUACACACGUGUUACAAUGGGGGGGUACAGAGGGCCGCUACCACGCGAGUGGAUGCCAAUCCCAAAAACCUCUCUCAGUUCGGACUGGAGUCUGCAACCCGACUCCACGAAGCUGGAUUCGCUAGUAAUCGCGCAUCAGCCACGGCGCGGUGAAUACGUUCCCGGGCCUUGUACACACCGCCCGUCAAGCCAUGGGAGCCGGGGGUACCUGAAGUGCGUAACCACGAGGAGCGCCCUAGGGUAAAACUGGUGACUGGGGCUAAG
rnacentral:rRNA from 1 species